rnacentral:rRNA from 1 species
UACGUAGGGAGCAAGCGUUGUCCGGAAUCAUUGGGCGUAAAGCGCGCGUAGGUGGCCUCAUAAGUCCGCUGUGAAAGUCAAAGGCUCAACCUUUGAAAGCCAGGUGGAUACUGUGAGGCUAGAGUACGGAAGAGGCGAGUGGAAUUCCUGGUGUAGCGGUGGAAUGCGCAGAUAUCAGGAGGAACACCAAUAGCGAAGGCAGCUCGCUGGGACGUUACUGACACUGAGGUGCGAAAGCGUGGGGAGCGAACAGG